rnacentral:rRNA from 1 species
GACGAACGCUGGCGGCGUGCUUAACACAUGCCAGUCGAACGGAAAGGCCCUGCUUUUUUGUGGUUCUCGAGUGGCGAACGGGUGAGUAACACGUGAGUAACCUGCCCUUGACUUUGUGAUAACUUCAGGAAACUGGGGCUAAUACCGGAUAGGAGCUCCUGCUGCAUGGUGGGGGUUGGAAAGUUUCGGCGGUUGGGGAUGGACUCGCGGCUUAUCAGCUUGUUGGUGGGGUAGUGGCUUACCAAGGCUUUGACGGGUAGCCGGCCUGAGAGGGUGACCGGCCACCUUGGGACUGCGAUACGGCGCAGACGCCUACGGGAGGCAGCAGUGGGGAAUAUUGCACAAUGGGCGGAAGUCUGAUGCAGAAACGCUGCGUGCGGGAUGACGGCCUUCGGGUUGUAAACCGCUUUCGCCUGUGACGAAGCGUGAGUGACGGUAAUGGGUAAAGAAGCACCGGCUAACUACGUG